rnacentral:tRNA from 1 species
UAGAAUGAGGUGUACGUCGGUAGCACGAUGGAUUUUGAAUCCUUAGGGGCAGGUUCGAGGCCUGCAAUUCUAG